UGAUGGAAAAAUCCACACUGCAGGUUGGAAAACUACAGGCUGGAAAACUCUCCAUUUAACUUAACCUCUGCUUAGCCCUUUUUUUCAUGAACAAGCUAUGUAAUGCUAACAAAUUGGGAAUAAAAAGAGGAAGGAUUCUGGGCUUGGUGGAUGCUUGAACACUUGGACACCUCUCGAGUUCCCCUGCAGACAGAAGGCUGGCCACUGGAUGUCUACAGUUAUCCACUCGAGACCUCUUCAAAACCCUGGUGACAACCAGCAGGAAAAGUGAAGAAAAGGAAUCUGAAGAGAAAUAGGGAAGAAAGAGUUAUGGUGAAGAGCCUUGAAGAUAGCCUCUCAGUGCUAGGAUCCAUAACCAUCUGCACUAGCAGUCCCAGGAUUUCAGCUGUUAAAGAUUCCUUUGACAAGAACCCAGCAAUGUUACCCAGUAAUAGGAAAUCAGAAGCAAUUCAAUGGUGCAGAAUUUAGUAUAAUAUUCUUCCUCUUUUCCUUCUUUUUUUUGCAUAUUAAGUAACUUUGCUCUAGAUGUAAGAAAUGAAAUUUGACUACUUGUGAGUCCCCAAAAGCUGCUACUUUGUGACUGAUUUUAGUAAUAACAUUAUCAUCCAGGUGAACAGUGUUCUCGCUUUUACAAAGCUGCAUGAAUUUAGUGUUCUUAAAAAUAAGAAAAUAACAGGGACUUGUGUCAGGUGUAAUUCAGUUCAUUGUUAUAUAAGAUUCUUCACACACUUCUGUCAAUGCACCUCAAUCCUGAUAUUUUGCUCAAACAUUUUCAGCUCUCAUAUUUA